AGAAGGGACAGCUGAGAAACAAAGUCCUGGUACGCAGACGACAAUACUAUAACACUGACAAGAGUAUAAUGAUGAUGGAGACGGAGACACAAGCCAGAGAAAGGGUGGACCAAACACCAGGCCAGAAUUCUGCAUGAGUCAGAUCCAGUGGGUGCAGAUCAUCAUACAGAUGGUUCAAGUGUGGAUCCACCUAAUAUUCAAGGUUUUCUGUCCUGGGACACUCGGCUAACCAUCAAGAAAGAACACACUCCAGUGGGCAUCCUUUAUCCAUCCAGACCCUCAUACAGAUGGUUGGAGUUUUGAUUCUCCUAAAGUACCAUGCAAGAGCACUCAUUUUCCCUCUUGAGACCAUGGUGUGACCUGCAAGGUCGAAUGGAGACUGUAAACGAGACAAUCUUGGAGUCACCUGCAUUCACUGGUCCAGUUAGUCCAAUUACAGAUGGAGAUUAUAGAAGAGGAUGAUGUCUUUUCUCCAACAUCUUUCUAGACUGAUAAAAGAUCUAGACAGGCUUGAACAAAAGUUAACAGAGGGGCUUAUAUAGAGAAUGGUGAGCAGCUACACAUAAAAGAAGAACAUGGAGAAUCUGCCCAGAGGUGUUAACCAGCAAUGCAGCUAUACAACUAAAUUGAUGCAGGCGGAAACAAUGUGUGUAUGUUAUGUCCAAAUGUUGUUAUGUUCAAAUGUUU